UUUCCGUAGGUGAACCUGCGGAAGGAUCAUUAUUGUAUAACCGAGGUGCGAGGGCUGUCGCUGACCCGAAAGGUCGUGCACGCCCGAGUGCCCUCACACACAUCCAUCUCACCCCUAUGUGCACCACCGCGUGGGUCCCCCUUUGGCUUGUUCGGAGGGGGGCUUACGUUUUCACACAAACUUUGUAUGCAGUGUAGAAUGUAUUUUUUGUUUUUGCGAUCACGCAAUCAAUACAACUUUCAACAACGGAUCUCUUGGCUCUCGCAUCGAUGAAUAACGCAGC
rnacentral:misc_RNA from 1 species